UUCUUAUCGAGAACGGUUGAGGGAUUAGGCCCGGAGACACCGUAGCAACCGAUCCGGAUAACUCCGGGUGUCAGGUGCUAAAUCCUACCUGUAAAAUUUUACGGGAAAGAUGAGGA
rnacentral:ncRNA from 2 species